GACGUAGGGCGCGAGCGUUGUCCGGAUUUAUUGGGCGUAAAGAGCUCGUAGGCGGCUUGUCGCGUCGACUGUGAAAACCCGCGGCUCAACUGCGGGCCUGCAGCCGAUACGGGCAGGCUAGAGUUCGGUAGGGGAGACUGGAAUUCCUGGUGUAGCGGUGAAAUGCGCAGAUAUCAGGAGGAACACCGAUGGCGAAGGCAGCUCGCUGGGACGGUACUGACGCUGAGACGCGAAGGCGUGGGGAGCGAACAGG
rnacentral:rRNA from 1 species